rnacentral:rRNA from 1 species
GACGAACGCUGGCGGCGUGCCUAAUACAUGCAAGUCGAACGCUUCUUUCCUCCCGAGUGCUUGCACUCAAUUGGAAAGAGGAGUGGCGGACGGGUGAGUAACACGUGGGUAACCUACCCAUCAGAGGGGGAUAACACUUGGAAACAGGUGCUAAUACCGCAUAACAGUUUAUGCCGCAUGGCAUAAGAGUGAAAGGCGCUUUCGGGUGUCGCUGAUGGAUGGACCCGCGGUGCAUUAGCUAGUUGGUGAGGUAACGGCUCACCAAGGCGACGAUGCAUAGCCGACCUGAGAGGGUGAUCGGCCACACUGGGACUGAGACACGGCCCAGACUCCUACGGGAGGCAGCAGUAGGGAAUAUUCGGCAAUGGGCGAAAGUCUGACCGAGCAACGCCGCGUGAGUGAAGAAGGUUUUCGGAUCGUAAAACUCUGUUGUUAGAGAAGAACAAGGGCGGUAGUAACUGAACGUCCCCUGACGGUAUCUAACCAGAAAGCCACGGCUAACUACGUG